rnacentral:rRNA from 1 species
CAGGGAAUCUUGCGCAAUGGGCCGAUAUGGCCUGACGCAGCGACACCGCGUGGGGGAAGAAGGCUCUAGGGUUGUAAACCCCUUUUCUCGGGGAAGAGAGAGGACGGUACCCGAGGAAUAAGCCUCGGCUAACUACGUGCCAGCAGCCGCGGUAAUACGUAGGAGGCAAGCGUUGUCCGGAUUUACUGGGCGUAAAGGGCGAGUAGGCGGCCUGCCAAGUCUCAUGUGAAAUCUCCCGGCUCAACUGGGAGGGGUCAUGGGAAACUGGCGGGCUUGAGGGCAGCAGAGGAAAGCGGAAUUUCCGGAGUAGCGGUGAAAUGCGUAGAUACCGGAAGGAACACCAGAGGCGAAGGCGGCUUUCUGGGCUGCUCCUGACGCUGAGGCGCGAAAGCAUGGGUAGCAAACCGG